CCUACGGGAGGCAGCAGUGAGGAAUAUUGGUCAAUGGACGAGAGUCUGAACCAGCCAAGUAGCGUGAAGGAUGACUGCCCUAUGGGUUGUAAACUUCUUUUAUAUGGGAAUAAAACAGGGUAUGCAUACCCUCUUGUAUGUACCAUAUGAAUAAGGAUCGGCUAACUCCGUGCCAGCAGCCGCGGUAAUACGGAGGAUCCGAGCGUUAUCCGGAUUUAUUGGGUUUAAAGGGAGCGUAGGUGGAUUGUUAAGUCAGUUGUGAAAGUUUGCGGCUCAACCGUAAAAUUGCAGUUGAAACUGGCAGUCGUGAGUACAGUAGAGGUGGGCGGAAUUCGUGGUGUAGCGGUGAAAUGCUUAGAUAUCACGAAGAACUCCGAUUGCGAAGGCAGCUCACUGGACUGCAACGGACACUGAUGCUCGAAAGUGUGGGUAUCAAACAGGAUUAGAUACCCCGGUAGUC
rnacentral:rRNA from 1 species